CUGUAAGGUAAUGCCAUCCUGCAAGUUCCGGUCAGAUUGCAUGAGUAAGACAAGAGUUAUGGCCUUUUGUACAUAUAUAAUAUGGUGUUUGAUUCCAUUUUCUGUCCGCCUGGAGUCAUAUCUCAGACAUUGAUAGAAGGAUUCAGUGAAAAUUGCUUCAGGAACACAUGAGGCUUUCCCUUUGUAUUUAUAUAAUGCUUAUUAUAUAGGCCAUAUCUUAAAUUCAAUGCCGUUUUAUGAUCCAUUUUUGUUAUGGAAUAUUGUGAUCAAGCUUAGUAUAUAUAUAUGAUUUAAUUGGAAACUUGUAUGUUGUAUAUUUUGGUCUCUGGGGUCAAGGUCAAGGUCGCCUUUACUAAAACUAGAAAAAUUGUUUCUGAUCAAUAACUUCACCAAGAAAAAAGCAUAUUGCAUCCAUACUUGGAAUUUAGAAGUCUGGCAUGGAGACCAUGGUUUUAGAUGUAGUUUGGCUUGAUUAAGUCAAUGUCAAGAACGUUGUUCCUAAAAAUAGAAACGUUGUCUUCUCACGGUAACUUCACUUAAAAAUGAUGUAAGCAGACCAAACCUUGUAAACAGGUAGCUUUCAUCGAGACAAGUUUUUGUUUCAUUUUAGGUAGCGCGGGUCAAGGUAGUUGUUACUAAAUAUAGAAGAAUGGGUUUCAAUCAAUAAUUUAGAAUGAAUAGCUUUCAAAAAGACUGAAAUGCAAUGCUUCUUCAAAGGUAAAACCUUUAUUCCCUUCGGCGGGGGAUACCAAUUCACUGACUUUGCUUGUUAAGGCAGUUCUGCACGUUUGAUAAACCGGAAGUGAUGGCGUAACGUCAUUUAUCACGGUGUAGUGCAUUACCAAGAAAUCACGAUAAAACGAAACGAUAAAAGUGAGUUCCUUUUCCUGUUUAUAGACUGAAUUCGUAAAUUUUAUCAAUGAAAUAUCUUAAGUACUAGUCAUUUGGUUGAUAACUGUCCUAUAUAAGUCGACUUGCCUUGCAAGAAUUUUAUUUAGAGGGGGUAGCGAAGCAAUACCACUACAAGAUUAGUCAGAAAACAAGAGGGAUUUUAAUUUGUUAUCAUCCGGAAAAAAACUGACUGACGAUAAAUAUUUGGUGAAGAUAAUGUCUUUUUCACAAAGGAUUUCGGUUGUUAUUAUCGCAAUUAUACUGAUAUGGAAGGUCACACAGACAGAGAGCCAGUACUGUCAGUGGGUUAAAGGUUACGGCUGCAGGGACACUACAAUUGAAUCGUUGGGACAAAGGUCGGUGUGCUAGAUAUGGCGACAGAAAAGGAAAGGUUAUGGCAUGUCAGCAGUAUGGUAAACAUUGCCGAUGCAACGUAAUUGGCAAUAUACCUCAUGACGGGUCAGAAUACUAUGACAAAUUUUUGUAUUCUGAGUAUUCUGAAAUAUAUUAAACCGUUCUACAAUAAUUAAAAUGGCUUCAAUAUUACAUUCCUUUAAAAUCAAUUUGAAAACAUUCUAGUAGUCGUAAGACUGAUAGUGAUAAAAUGGAAGGAUAUUUGAAGGUGAAUGCACUAAUAUUCUGUGUUUAUUAAACAAACUUUGAGAUUAUAUGAUUAUUAUAAUAAUUUAAAUAAAACAAACAAUAGAUGUUUGUUUAAAUUCAAAGAUGUAUCUUUUGUUGAUAUAAACUUCAAAAAUUGCAUAAUGAAUAUACAGCUGUUUUUUCUUCAGCCGCAAGUUUUUAAUUUUCUGUAUAACCUAGGUAGGUUAUACAUGACACUAAUUUGUUAAUUGAAAGUGAAAAAAUGCAAAUUUGUUUCUCGGAUAUAUAUCAAUCAAACUGUAGAAAAAGUUUCGAACUUGCAGAAGUAAUAAAAGACAAUAUAUCAGCAAAAGCUUUGAAACAUUCUA